GUGUGAUCACAUUGAUGCCACAAUGGACGACUGAUCAAUGCUCCACUACCAAAAGGAAGCCAAGCCCUGCCACCCUUUACAACAAAACAAGGUGUGAUCACAUUGAUGCCACAAUGGACGACUGAUCAAUGCUCCACUACCAAAAGGAAGCCAAGCCCUGCCACCCUUUACAACAAAACAAGGUGUGAUCACAUUGAUGCCACAAUGGACGACUGAUCAAUGCUCCACUACCAAAAGGAAGCCAAGCCCUGCCACCCUUUACAACAAAACAAGGUGUGAUCACAUUGAUGCCACAAUGGACGACUGAUCAAUGCUCCACUACCAAAAGGAAGCCAAGCCCUGCCACCCUUUACAACAAAACAAGGUGUGAUCACAUUGAUGCCACAAUGGACGACUGAUCAAUGCUCCACUACCUUUUUUUUUUUUUUUUUUACUUUGAUUUUUAUUAGGUUAUUUUAUCAUUGUGGACAUACAGUAAAGAAAAUAACAAACAGACAUACAUAUAAACAAACAGAGUCUGGAGUUUACAUAUCUUUCUCCAUUUAUCACAUUGCAGAAAAAAAAAGAAAACCUAUUAUGUUAUUUCAUUUGUGUCACUUCUGAAUGUUUUCCACUUCCUCCAUAGUCUGUCGUAUUUACCUCCCAUCAGUCUAAUGUUGAGUGUUAUUUUUUCCAUCUCUGAGAUAUCCUCUACAAUACUUGCAGUAUUCUUUGUUUUUUCCUUCUUUGGGUAAGAUUGUUAUAAUAGCUUCUCCCCAUGAUGGUGGAGCUAUUCCCUGAUUCAGAGUCCAGUUGAAGCAAGAUAGAAGAAGUGGCUUGAGUUCUUCUUUGAAAACUUUGUAACUUUGUAGGUGUGAUCACAUUGAUGCCACAAUGGACGACUGAUCAAUGCUCCACUACCAAAAGGAAGCCAAGCCCUGCCACCCUUUACAACAAAACAAGGUGUGAUCACAUUGAUGCCACAAUGGACGACUGAUCAAUGCUCCACUACCAAAAGGAAGCCAAGCCCUGCCACCCUUUACAACAAAACAAGGUGUGAUCACAUUGAUGCCACAAUGGACGACUGAUCAAUGCUCCACUACCAAAAGGAAGCCAAGCCCUGCCACCCUUUACAACAAAACAAGGUGUGAUCACAUUGAUGCCACAAUGGACGACUGAUCAAUGCUCCACUACCAAAAGGAAGCCAAGCCCUGCCACCCUUUACAACAAAACAAGGUGUGAUCACAGGGC
ensembl:lncRNA